rnacentral:misc_RNA from 1 species
AACCAUUCUCACCUGCGGCUAGACCUGCGGAGGGAUCAUUACCGGAGAGAGGCGACUCUCGAAGGCCCAAACCCACUGUGAAUCUACCUUGGCUUCUGUGCUUCGGCAGGCGGUCCCAGGGGGGACCUUUGCGUAACAGCGCCUGCCGGAGGACUUGAAAACUCUUUUUUUGACAUCUGUCUGAGAAGUUAGGCCUCGUUAGGGGUCGAGAAUCGCUAAAAACUUUUAGCAACGGAUCUC